rnacentral:rRNA from 1 species
UACGAAGGGGGCUAGCGUUGCUCGGAAUCACUGGGCGUAAAGCGCACGUAGGCGGCUUUUUAAGUCAGGGGUGAAAUCCUGGAGCUCAACUCCGGAACUGCCUUUGAUACUGGGGAUCUCGAGUCCGGGAGAGGUGAGUGGAACUGCGAGUGUAGAGGUGAAAUUCGUAGAUAUUCGCAAGAACACCAGUGGCGAAGGCGGCUCACUGGCCCGGAACUGACGCUGAGGUGCGAAAGCGUGGGGAGCAAACAGG